GAAGCUUAGUAUCUUAGUUAUUUCCAGUUCCCAAUCGACCAGUUAGUCGUUCUCCUUUCAAGUGUAUUCGUCCAUGGGUUGGUGUAUAACCCUCGCCUUCCAACGCUGUGAAGCGACGGCGUGUGUCGAUGGCCCGUCACAACGAUAAACGUGUCUUGCCGUGGAGUGUCGAAGACCCGUGCUCGUUCGCGCUCGCUUUCCGUCACUGAAUCACUUAAUCAGAAUGGGGAGCUGAUUGUCCAGAAAAUUCUCGAUCUCAACAACAGUGCCAGUUUGCAGGAGAUAAUGGCUUCCAGCUGACGCCUACAACACCGUAUCCCACAUCCUCCAAAAGGAGAUUGUGUCGGUAUAUCUUGAUAGGUUUUUUCUUUAAUUUUUCUGGUUGUUUUAUGCCAGAUGUUAGAGUAAAUGCAUUCAAGGCGGCAUGGGAAACUGCA